AAUACUAGAUGUUUGGUGCCAAGCGUACUGAGUGUCGUAGCUAACGCGAUAAGUAUUCCGCCUGGGAAGUACGGCCGCAAGAUUGAAACUCAAAGGAAUUGACGGGGGCCCGCACAAGCGGUGGAGCAUGUGGUUUAAUUCGAUGCAACGCGAAGAACCUUACCUGGGCUUGACAUGUCUGGAAUCCUGCAGAGAUGCGGGAGUGCCCUUCGGGGAAUCAGAACACAGGUGCUGCAUGGCUGUCGUCAGCUCGUGUCGUGAGAUGUUGGGUUAAGUCCCGCAACGAGCGCAACCCUUGUCCUUAGUUGCCAGCGGUUCGGCCGGGCACUCUAGGGAGACUGCCGGUGACAAACCGGAGGAAGGUGGGGAUGACGUCAAGUCCUCAUGGCCUUUAUGUCCAGGGCUACACACGUGCUACAAUGGCGCGUACAGAGGGAAGCCAAGCCGCGAGGUGGAGCAGACCCCAGAAAGCGCGUCGUAGUUCGGAUUGCAGUCUGCAACUCGACUGCAUGAAGUCGGAAUCGUUAGUAAUCGCGGAUCAGCAUGCCGCU
rnacentral:rRNA from 1 species